GACGUAGGGCGCAAGCGUUGUCCGGAUUUAUUGGGCGUAAAGAGCUCGUAGGCGGCUUGUCGCGUCGACUGUGAAAACCCGCGGCUUAACUGUGGGACUGCAGUCGAUACGGGCUAGCUAGAGUUCGGUAGGGGAGACUGGAAUUCCUGGUGUAGCGGUGAAAUGCGCAGAUAUCAGGAGGAACACCGGUGGCGAAGGCGGCUCUCUGGGACGGUACUGACGCUGAGACGCGAAAGCGUGGGGAGCGAACAGG
rnacentral:rRNA from 1 species